rnacentral:rRNA from 1 species
UUACUGUAGCCUGAUACUGAAAUUCGGCACAGCUUGUACAGGAUAGGUAGGAGCCUUUGAAACGUGAGCGCUAGCUUACGUGGAGGCGCUGGUGGGAUACUACCCUAGCUGUGUUGGCUUUCUAACCCGCACCACUUAUCGUGGUGGGAGACAGUGUCAGGCGGGCAGUUUGACUGGGGCGGUCGCCUCCUAAAAGGUAACGGAGGCGCUCAAAGGUUCCCUCAGAAUGGUUGGAAAUCAUUCAUAGAGUGUAAAGGCAUAAGGGAGCUUGACUGCGAGACCUACAAGUCGAGCAGGGUCGAAAGACGGACUUAGUGAUCCGGUGGUUCCGCAUGGAAGGGCCAUCGCUCAACGGAUAAAAGCUACCCCGGGGAUAACAGGCUUAUCUCCCCCAAGAGUUCACAUCGACGGGGAGGUUUGGCACCUCGAUGUCGGCUCAUCGCAUCCUGGGGCUGUAG